UAAGACGUAGGGCGCGAGCGUUGUCCGGAUUUAUUGGGCGUAAAGAGCUCGUAGGCGGCUCAUCGCGUCGUGCGUGAAAACCCGUAGCUCAACUGCGGGCUUGCGUUCGAUACGGGUGGGCUGGAGUUCGGUAGGGGAGACUGGAAUUCCUGGUGUAGCGGUGAAAUGCGCAGAUAUCAGGAGGAACACCGGUGGCGAAGGCGGGUCUCUGGGCCGAUACUGACGCUGAGGAGCGAAAGCGUGGGGAGCGAACAGGAUUAGAUACCCUGGUAGUCCACGCUGUAAACGUUGGGCGCUAGGUGUGGGGGGCCUCUCCGGUUUCCUGCGCCGUAGCUAACGCAUUAAGCGCCCCGCCUGGGGAGUACGGCCGCAAGGCUA
rnacentral:rRNA from 1 species